rnacentral:rRNA from 1 species
CUACGUGCCAGCAGCCGCGGUAAUACAGAGGGUGCAAGCGUUAAUCGGAAUUACUGGGCGUAAAGCGAGCGUAGGUGGUCAUUUAAGUCAGAUGUGAAAUCCCCGGGCUUAACCUGGGAACUGCAUCUGAUACUGGGUGACUAGAGUAGGUGAGAGGGAAGUAGAAUUCCAGGUGUAGCGGUGAAAUGCGUAGAGAUCUGGAGGAAUACCGAUGGCGAAGGCAGCUUCCUGGCGUCAUACUGACACUGAGGUUCGAAAGCGUGGGUAGCAAACAGGAUUAGAUACCCUGGUAGUCCACGCCGUAACCGAUGUCUACCAGUCGUUGGGUCUCUUGAAGACUUAGUGACGCAGUUAACGCGAUAAGUAGACCGCCUGGGGAGUACGGCCGCAAGGUUAAAACUCAAAUGAAUUGACGGGGGCCCGCACAAGCGGUGGAGCAUGUGGUUUAAUUCGAUGCAACGCGAAGAACCUUACCUGG